rnacentral:pre_miRNA from 1 species
UAAAGUGCUUAUAGUGCAGGUAGUUUUUCUGUAUUCUACUGCAUAAUGAGCACUUAAAGU